rnacentral:rRNA from 1 species
CCUACGGGAGGCAGCAGUAGGGAAUUUUGCUCAAUGGGGGAAACCCUGACGCAGCAACGCCGCGUGCUCGAUGAAGCCCUUCGGGGUGUAAAGAUCUGUCAGUAGGGACGAAACCGGACGGUACCCACAGAGGAAGCACCGGCUAACUCCGUGCCAGCAGCCGCGGUAAUACGGGGGGUGCAAGCGUUGUCCGGAAUCAUUGGGGGUAAAGAGUUCGUAGGUGGCACGUUAAGUCUGGUGUUAAAGGCGGAAGCUCAACUUCCGUAGGGCAUUGGAUAUUGGCGAGCUUGAAUGCGGUAGCGGUAAAGGGAAUGCCUGGUGUAGCGGUGAAAUGCGUAGAGAUCAGAAGGAACAUCGGUGGCGUAGGCGCUUUACUGGGCCGUAAUUGACACUGAGGAACGAAAGCCGGGGUAGCAAAUGGGAUUAGAUACCCGGGUAGUC